rnacentral:rRNA from 1 species
UGCAGUCGAACGAUGAUCCCAGCUUGCUGGGGGAUUAGUGGCGAACGGGUGAGUAACACGUGAGUAACCUGCCCUUGACUCUGGGAUAAGCCUGGGAAACUGGGUCUAAUACCGGAUAUGACCAUUCCACGCAUGUGGUGGUGGUGGAAAGCUUUUGUGGUUUUGGAUGGACUCGCGGCCUAUCAGCUUGUUGGUGGGGUAAUGGCCUACCAAGGCGACGACGGGUAGCCGGCCUGAGAGGGUGACCGGCCACACUGGGACUGAGACACGGCCCAGACUCCUACGGGAGGCAGCAGUGGGGAAUAUUGCACAAUGGGCGCAAGCCUGAUGCAGCGACGCCGCGUGAGGGAUGACGGCCUUCGGGUUGUAAACCUCUUUCAGUAGGGAAGAAGCGAAAGUGACGGUACCUGCAGAAGAAGCGCCGGCUAACUACGUGCCAGCAGCCGCGGUAAUACGUAGGGCGCAAGCGUUAUCCGGAAUUAUUGGGCGUAAAGAGCUCGUAGGCGGUUUGUCGCGUCUGCUGUGAAAGACCGGGGCUCAACUCCGGUUCUGCAGUGGGUACGGGCAGACUAGAGUGCAGUAGGGGAGACUGGAAUUCCUGGUGUAGCGGUGAAAUGCGCAGAUAUCAGGAGGAACACCGAUGGCGAAGGCAGGUCUCUGGGCUGUAACUGACGCUGAGGAGCGAAAGCAUGGGGAGCGAACAGGAUUAGAUACCCUGGUAGUCCAUGCCGUAAACGUUGGGCACUAGGUGUGGGGGACAUUCCACGUUUUCCGCGCCGUAGCUAACGCAUUAAGUGCCCCGCCUGGGGAGUACGGCCGCAAGGCUAAAACUCAAAGGAAUUGACGGGGGCCCGCACAAGCGGCGGAGCAUGCGGAUUAAUUCGAUGCAACGCGAA